UUCUGGGCAGCGGCCGGUCUAAGUUCCUUGGAACAGGACGUCAUAGAGGGUGAGAAUCCCGUAUGCGACCGGCUUGCACCCGUCACGUAGCUCCUUCGACGAGUCGAGUUGUUUGGGAAUGCAGCUCUAAAUGGGAGGUAAAUUUCUUCUAAGGCUAAAUACCGGCCAGAGACCGAUAGCGCACAAGUAGAGUGAUCGAAAGAUGAAAAGCACUUUGGAAAGAGAGUUAAAAAGCACGUGAAAUUGUUGAAAGGGAAGCUCACGCAACCAGACUUGUCGGCGGUGUUCCGCCGGUCUUCUGACCGGUCUACUCGCCGCCGGCAGGCCAGCAUCACUUGGGAGCGCCGGAUAAAGGCGUGCGGAAUGUAGCCCCUCGGGGCAUUAUAGCCGCGCGCACAAUACGGCGCCUCCCGAGUGAGGUCCGCGCUUCGGCUAGGAUGCUGGCGUAAUGGUUGCUUGAGGCCCGUC
rnacentral:rRNA from 1 species